UGGGGAAUAUUGCACAAUGGGCGCAAGCCUGAUGCAGCCAUGCCGCGUGUAUGAAGAAGGCCUUCGGGUUGUAAAGUACUUUCAGCGGGGAGGAAGGGAGUAAAGUUAAUACCUUUGCUCAUUGACGUUACCCGCAGAAGAAGCACCGGCUAACUCCGUGCCAGCAGCCGCGGUAAUACGGAGGGUGCAAGCGUUAAUCGGAAUUACUGGGCGUAAAGCGCACGCAGGCGGUUUGUUAAGUCAGAUGUGAAAUCCCCGGGCUCAACCUGGGAACUGCAUCUGAUACUGGCAAGCUUGAGUCUCGUAGAGGGGGGUAGAAUUCCAGGUGUAGCGGAGAAAUGCGUAGAGAUCUGGAGGAAUACCGGUGGCGAAGGCGGCCCCCUGGACGAAGACUGACGCUCAGGUGCGAAAGCGUGGGGAGCAAACAGG
rnacentral:rRNA from 1 species